GCCUUCAUGGUGUAGUGGUCAAAACGCUCGACGCGUAACCGAGAGGUCCCUGGUUCGAUUCCCGGCGAAGGCG
rfam:Stegodyphus mimosarum contig95184, whole genome shotgun sequence.